CACGUAGGGCGCAAGCGUUGUCCGGAAUUAUUGGGCGUAAAGAGCUCGUAGGCGGUCUGUUGCGUCCGCUGUGAAAACUCGGGGCUUAACCCCGAGCCUGCAGUGGAUACGGGCAGACUAGAGGUAGGUAGGGGAGAAUGGAAUUCCCGGUGUAGUGGUGAAAUGCGUAGAUAUCGGGAGGAACACCAGUGGCGAAGGCGACUUCCUGGCCUGUUCUUGACGCUGAGGCGCGAAAGCUAGGGGAGCAAACGGG
rnacentral:rRNA from 1 species